rnacentral:rRNA from 1 species
CUACGGGUCGCUGCAGUGGGGAAUAUUGCACAAUGGAGGAAACUCUGAUGCAGCAACGCCGCGUGGAGGAUGACACUUUUCGGAGCGUAAACUCCUUUUAUAUAGGAAGAAGAUGACGGUACUAUAUGAAUAAGCGCCGGCUAACUCCGUGCCAGCAGCCGCGGUAAUACGGAGGGCGCAAGCGUUACUCGGAAUCACUGGGCGUAAAGAGUGUGUAGGCGGAUUAAAAAGUCAGAAGUGAAAUCCUAUAGCUUAACUAUAGAACUGCUUCUGAAACUCUUAAUCUAGAAUGUGGGAGAGGUAGAUGGAAUUUCUGGUGUAGGGGUAAAAUCCGUAGAGAUCAGAAGGAAUACCGAUUGCGAAGGCGAUCUACUAGAACAUUAUUGACGCUGAGACGCGAAAGCGUGGGGAGCAAACAGGAUUAGAUACCCGGGUAGUC